UUCAUCCGUGAUUGACAAGAACAGUCAGUCUCACAUCCUUAUCAUGUGACCUCAUGGUAUAUUGGUGCUGAACAGUGACGUGUGACUCAUUCAGCUGGAAGACGUGCUCACCACUGACAUGUUUAUCACAGUCCUUUAUCUGUCGCUUCUUUUACACUCAGGUCUCACUGUGGUGAUUCUUCAGUCUGGAGAUCAAAUGUCCCACCCAGGAUUGACAGUGAACUUUGAGUGCAGCAUGGGUCCAGGGUUCAGCAUGGGCAGCUACACCAUGCUCUGGUAUCGACAAAACCAGUACGGAGCACUGCUGGAGUUCCUCACCAAAGAGUACGACCAAACUGAGGGGCGCUUCCAGCCGUUUCUGGAAACAUCCAACAACAACUUCUCUCUUCAGAUUACUGGGCUGCACCUGAAUGACAGCAGCACUUACUACUGUGCUGCCAGGACUGUGAACUACGAUCCUGCUUACUUUGGCAGUGGCACCAGACUGACAGUGUUGGAAAAAGACCGUGAUAUCACCCCACCAACAGUGAAAGUGCUUCCACCUUCAACAAAGGAGUGUCGAAACCAGAAAGACGGACCAAGGAAGAAGACCAUCGUUUGUGUGGCCAGUGGAUUCUACCCAGACCAUGUCAGUGUUAAAUGGAAGAUCGACGGUAUCAAAGCCACCUCUGGUGUGGCGACUGAUAACGCUGCCCUGCGGGAAGGCAGGUAUUACAGAAUCACCAGCAGGCUGAAGGUCUCUGGAGAAGACUGGUUCACACUCUACAAAAACUUCACCUGUAUCGUCGAGUUCUUCGAUGGAACAGCAACAAUACCUUAUGAAGAUACAGUUCUGGGUGUUGAAGGUGAAGAAGGCGGCAUGACAAGAGAGAACUAUUUUAAGAUCUCACAGACGGCCAAACUCUCCUACGCUCUUCUAAUCAUCAAGAGCACCCUCUAUGGAGCCUUUGUGGCCUUUUUGGUGUGGAAGCUUCAGAGUUCAGCCGGAAAACGGAACAACUGAGAGCUGAGGUCUGAACCAAAACAAUCCUGAUCUCAGUUUCUGUAAAUAAAAUUUGUAGAACAUAUAAUAUGGUUAUAUUUCCACAACUGUGUACAGUAUGUCACAAUGUAUUUGCAUUCAUAUAUAAAUAAGCCAACCAAAUACUGCUACCAAUAGACAAGCAUAUUCUCAUUAAUUUUUAAAGCCAAAACUGGCAUGGAAGUAAGUCUGGUGUAGAUUAUUUCAUAAUCGCUUGUAUGUUUGUGAUUGUGAGCUAUUUGAUGCUUAAUUUUCUACUCAAUAAAAGUACGUCAGAGGA